rnacentral:rRNA from 1 species
GGAUCCAGACUUUGAUUAUGGCUCAGGAUAAACGCUGGCGGCGCACAUAAGACAUGCAAGUCGAACGAACUUAACCAUUAGUUUACUAUUGGAGCGGUUAGUGGCGGACUGGUGAGUAACACGUAAGCAACCUGCCUAUCAGAGGGGAACAACAGUUAGAAAUGACUGCUAAUACCGCAUAUGCCUUAGAAUCACAUGGUUCAAAAGGGAAAGGAGCAAUCCGCUGAUAGAUGGGCUUGCGUCUGAUUAGCUAGUUGGUGGGGUAACGGCCUACCAAGGCGACGAUCAGUAGCCGAACUGAGAGGUUGAACGGCCACAUUGGGACUGAGAUACGGCCCAGACUCCUACGGGAGGCAGCAGUCGGGAAUAUUGCGCAAUGGAGGAAACUCUGACGCAGUGACGCCGCGUGCAGGAAGAAGGUUUUCGGAUUGUAAACUGCUUUAGACAGGGAAGAACAAAGACAGUACCUGUAGAAUAAGCUCCGGCUAACUACGUGCCAGCAGCCGCGGUAAUACGUAGGGAGCGAGCGUUAUCCGGAUUUAUUGGGUGUAAAGGGUGCGUAGACGGGAAGUCAAGUUAGUUGUGAAAUCCCUCGGCUUAACUGAGGAACUGCAACUAAAACUGAUUUUCUUGAGUACUGGAGAGGAAAGUGGAAUUCCUAGUGUAGCGGUGAAAUGCGUAGAUAUUAGGAGGAACACCGGUGGCGAAGGCGACUUUCUGGACAGAAACUGACGUUGAGGCACGAAAGUGUGGGGAGCAAACAGGAUUAGAUACCCUGGUAGUCCACACCGUAAACGAUGGAUACUAGGUGUAGGGGAUAUUAAAAUUCUCUGUGCCGCCGCUAACGCAAUAAGUAUCCCA